rnacentral:lncRNA from 1 species
ACAACAGGAAAACCCUUCAUGUGGCUGAUCCUACUAGCUGAGCUUAUGCCUUGGAAGACCCGGAGGACUUUCAAAGCACUGACAAGACACACUGGAUUGCACACUGUUGCUACCACACUUCUUGUCAGGUUCUGCAAAACUUCAUCCAGGACCACCUACCACAGUCACAUCACUCUGGAUGCCACUUUAUAUUGAUGAAAUCAGCUCUGUGCUGAAUGCCUCAGGGAAGGAAUGUGGCAGAGAACAGAAAACAAAAUGGUGUUUCGCUCUGCUACCCAGGCUGA